rnacentral:tRNA from 1 species
GCCGACGUAGCUCAAUCGGUAGAGCAAUCGCCUUGUAAGCGAUAGGUUAGGGGUUCGAUUCCCCUCGUCGGCU